AUCAGCUUACAGGACAACAACACACUCCAGCUCAUGAAAUCACAACGGGGCGUGAUCUGUCCUGCUUCCUUAUUAACCACCCAGCACCUAGAACAGUGCUUGGCCUGGAUUAGGAACCCCAUAAAUAUUUGUGGGGCUGAUAAAUGACAGCACCCACAAUGCAAUUCGGCAAUCCGUGACUUUAGAGCAAAUCUUCGUGAACAUCAAAAGUAAAUACAAAGCAGGUGCGGAGCUGGGAAGGUUUGGUACAUAAAGGAGCAAGUGCUGCCCUGAGGCCUCAGGAUUUUGAUAAACCAAGCGAGAAAUCAGUAAGGUAGCACCGACCCUUAUGUCCUUCCAGCCAGAGAUGGCCAAACCUCUGGCUCAGCCCCCAGACGUCCCGAAACUCUUUCCUCUCCUUCCCGUCAAGUGCACGUCUUGCUCUAUGAAGCAGAUUGGAGGUCGAGACGCCUGGCUUCCAGUUGGAGUUGUUUCUGAUUUUUUUCUUCAAGUUUCAGGUAUUUAUGGAUCGGUGCAAGUCCCAGCACAGUACACCAGCGUGAUCCGUGCGUUUAGACGGGAACCGUUUCCUGGGCAACUGGGGGAUUGUGCAGACGGCUUCUGGAAGACCUUCGUGCUCAGCAGCUUUGUAAGUGAAAUGUUUCAUUCUGAAGCCUGGACUUUCUCUAGUCUGUUGUCAUCUCCGUUCGCGGAGUCGAGCUUGCAUGGAUCAUGGGCACCCGGUGCGUUUCCAGGGUUCCGGGUGACGCCCUCCUACCCCAGCUGACAUCUGGGUUGAACGAUGCCAGGCCCAUGACCUACGGCGCUGCUCCCGUACGUGCCUCUAGGGGCUAAGCUCGAAGGUGCCUCCUCCGGACCGAGGAUCUCGUGUAACGGGGUUGUGGCCAGGGGCCUUGCCGUUGGAAGGAGGAAAGAAUAAACCUGCAAGGCCUGGACUCAAUACACUGAGGAUGAACAGAUGUCCAAAGUUACCCACAUCCCCAAGUCCAAGUUUUGACAGUUCAUGUGCAUAACAUUCCCGGAUGAGUAACUAUAUGCAAUCUCCAUAGGAACGUCUGUGCAAAGAGCAAAGGAGCUCAACUAUUGAUUCCAAAAGUGGGACCCAAAAGCACCCAGUCAAAGGAGGAAGAUAGCUUGAGUUUCCUUCAAGACAUAGAACUUCAUUUUGGCUAAAAAUAGGACAAUGGCGCGAGCGAUGAGAAGACUUUAUCCGGCCAAGCAUGUCAGCGCCAUGACUGACUCGCAUCCACAGAAAAGGGGUAACAUCUAACACGGCCUCUUCUCCCACAGGUUUGCUGGGCUCUAGAAUGGUAAGGAACAAUGACCACGCCCGACACUUAGCAAGUCCACAUUCAUUGCAUCAUUUAACAGCUCCCCCCGCCCCCAAAAAAAGAAAGAAAGAAAAAAGCCAGCAAGAUUAUUCCAAUCAUUUGAGCAAGACAGAAAUUGAACUUGAGAGAAGAUUAACAACAUGCUGACGGUCACCAAGAAUGAACUAGCUUCCGGGUUCAUUUUACAGUUUUCUUGAUAGCGAAUUUAUAAAUUUAUUUUGGUUUUAAAUACAGGAAGAACAAGUGAUGCCAUUCAUUGUACAGUAAUAUUUGAGUUGCUCCAGACCUAAGCCUGCGGACAGCCUGUGGUUCCACACACCGUGCCCAGUCUACACCGCAGCCCUUGUGUGUUAAUUUGAUAAAGAAUGUUCCUUAGUCAUGGGAAGUCAUUUUUACACAUUAUAAGUUUUGAUGAAGUUGGUAGUGAUGAUAUGAUACAGUGGGCUUAAACAUCCUGUUUUUCAUUUAUAAAUGUAAUUUAUAGAAAUUCUAAAAAAGUUCUAUAAAAAUUAUU